AUCACGGAGCAAGUGUCAGCAGCGUCCUCGAGACGAAUAAUAUCGACGAUGUUGACGGUGUCUUUCGGCCAACGGUCUGAUCAUCCCUCGAAAUAUCGCGGUUUCGAAUCAAUGCCGUUCUCAUAUGGACACAAGUGAGAAUUAGUGUGAAGUGGGAGUGGUUAUCCGCAAAAUAUCAAUUUAUUGAUAACAGUGAACCGGUCGCAUCUCCUGAGGAAACAUGUUUAUCGAAAAGCCGGUGCCAUUUCAUUUGUAGGUUAUAUGCCGAGUGAACAAAUGAGUCGGUUGUAGUGUAAAGCCGCGAUAGAUAAAAUGUCGAGGAAGUGGUUGUCGAAUUUCGCACUGGCUGCCACUAUCAGAUGGCUGCUGAUGAAUUCCGGCUACCAAAAAAUCAUCAGCAACCGCGUCGAAGUGUCGACUGCUUUGAACUCUUGGAAGAGAGUAACUGAAGGGGUUUAUUUGUAUAAUUUUGGCAUUGACCCCUACGAAGGUGAUCUGUUUCAUGAGACUCCUAUUGGCUUAUAUGUCUUUAAUCUUAUGCAGAAAUAUUUACCUCAGUGGGUACUUUUUCUGCUGUUUAUCGCUACUGACUUGAUAACAGCCUUGUGCCUUGCAAUUACCGCAAAGCACUACGCAAUCGAGCUGGCAACAAGGAGAAAAGAAGAAAAAGUACAAGAUGAAGAUAAGCUUGACAAAGGUACCUCCAGUGUAUCAGUCUUGUAUGUCUCUGCAGGCUACCUAUUUAAUCCUUACAUAAUACUCAACUGUGUCGGCCUUACAACUACAGUCUUCACCAAUCUGCUCUAUUCGAUUGCACUGUUGUCCAUGACAAGGCAUUCCAUACUGUGGAGUUGCAUGUCAAUAGCACUGUUGACACUGCAAGAACUCUAUCCCAUAUCGCUGAUGGUGCCAGCAGCUAUCUACGUCGCCAAUGCAGCAAGUGAUAAGACCAAGAAAAUUAGCAUCAUCAUAAUGCUGGUCGCGUUCAUGAGCAUCUUGGCAGUGCUGUUCGCCGUUUCUUACUACAUCAUGGGAAGUUGGUCAUUCCUGUGGAGCACUAUUGGAUUCAUUCUGACUGUGCCUGACCUACGCCCGAACAUCGGAUUGUACUGGUAUUUCUUCACGGAGAUGUUCGAGCAUUUCAGAUGGCUCUUCAUCGCGUCAUUCCAGAUAAACGUCAGUUUAUUGUACAUAGUCCCUUUAGCGCUGCGAUUGCGACGCGAUCCAAUGUUGCUAGCAUUCUCGUAUCUAGCGAUAGCUGCCAUAUUCAAAUCCUACCCGUGUAUCGGAGAUGUCGGCUUUUAUAUAUCUCUGUUGCCGCUUUGGAAGCAUUUGUUUCAACAUAUGCAACAAGGAUUUAUCGUAGGCUGUUUCGUGCUGUUCUGCACGGUCUUCGCUCCGACUGUAUGGCAUCAAUGGAUUUAUUCCAGAUCGGCGAACGCAAACUUUUACUUCGGUGUAACGCUAGCAUUCGCUAUAGCGCAAAUCUUUCUCCUCACGGACAUCCUGUUCGCCAGUCUGAAAUACGAGUUCGCGGUUCAGCACGGUAACAAUAAGAAGGUUAACGGAAACGAAGCUAAGUUGCUACUGGAGUAAUGAGACUUUCUAGAGCUCCUGCUUCCUCGCCACGGCCACCUUAAUUGAUGAAGUCAGAAACAGAACAAACAAAAACAAACAAAACAUAACUUCCGGGUUUCCCACUAUUAUCAGAAGAGCCUUAGCGCGUGUCACGGCGACAUUGAACCUCUAAAAGGAAAAAUAAUAAAAUCAAGAAUUAAAAAUCGGCCUUACAUACAGAUGCGCGCGCGUUUGUAUUAGUACAUUUAUAUAUGUGGCAAUGCACAUUAAAAUUUAACGCAAUUAGAGAAACGCCAUGAAGAAGAAACAAACAUGUAAACGGUUUUGAUAAUAUCAAAUGUGACUUAUAUUGAAAAAUAU
rnacentral:misc_RNA from 1 species